GACGAACGCUGGCGGCGUGCCUAAUACAUGCAAGUCGAGCGCGGGAAGCAAACUGAUCCCCUCCGGGGGUGACGUUUGUGGAACGAGCGGCGGACGGGUGAGUAACACGUGGGCAACCUGCCUGUAAGAUCGGGAUAACUUACGGAAACGUGAGCUAAUACCGGAUAAAGCUUCAUGCUGCAUAGCAUGAAGAUGAAAGACGGCUUUGCUGUCACUUACAGAUGGGCCCGCGGCGCAUUAGCUAGUUGGUGGGGUAACGGCCUACCAAGGCGACGAUGCGUAGCCGACCUGAGAGGGUGAUCGGCCACACUGGGGCUGAGACACGGCCCAGACUCCUACGGGAGGCAGCAGUAGGGAAUCUUCCACAAUGGACGAAAGUCUGAUGGAGCAACGCCGCGUGAACGAUGAAGGCUUUCGGGUCGUAAAGUUCUGUUGUAAGGGAAGAACAAGUGCCGCAGGCAAUGGCGGCACCUUGACGGUACCUUGCGAGAAAGCCACGGCUAACUACGUGCCAGCCGCCGCAGUAACAC
rnacentral:rRNA from 1 species